rnacentral:rRNA from 1 species
GGGGGGAGCAAGCGUUGUUCGGAUUUAUUGGGCGUAAAGAGCUCGUAGGCGGCUCCGUAAGUCAGAGGUGAAAGGUCACGGCUCAACCGUGGAAACGCCUUUGAAACUACAGAGCUUGAGGCCGGGAGAGGAAAGUGGAAUUCCUGGAGUAGCGGUGAAAUGCGUAGAUAUCAGGAGGAACACCAGUGGCGAAGGCGACUUUCUGGACCGGUUCUGACGCUGAGGAGCGAAAGCAUGGGGAGCGAACAGGAUUAGAUACCCUGGUAGUCCAUGCCGUAAACGAUGGGCACUAGGUGUGGGAGGAUCGACCCCCUUCCGUGCCCGCAGUUAACGCAUUAAGUGCCCCGCCUGGGGGAGUACGACCGCAAGGUUG